rnacentral:rRNA from 1 species
UGCGUAGGCGGAAUGGUAAGUCAGUGGUGAAAUCCCCCGGCUCAACUGGGGAACUGCCAUUGAUACUGUCGUUCUUGAGUACAGUUGAGGUAGGCGGAAUGUAUCAUGUAGCGGUGAAAUGCAUAGAUAUGAUACAGAACACCGAUAGCGAAGGCAGCUUACCAAACUGUAACUGACGCUGAGGCACGAAAGCGUGGGGAGCAAACA